UACGUAGGUGGCAAGCGUUAUCCGGAAUUAUUGGGCGUAAAGCGCGCGCAGGUGGUUUCUUAAGUCUGAUGUGAAAGCCCACGGCUCAACCGUGGAGGGUCGUUGGAAACUGGGAGACUUGAGUGCAGAAGAGGAAAGUGGAAUUCCAUGUGUAGCGGUGAAAUGCGUAGAGAUAUGGAGGAACACCAGUGGCGAAGGCGACUUUCUGGUCUGUAACUGACACUGAGGCGCGAAAGCGUGGGGAGCAAACAGG
rnacentral:rRNA from 1 species